rnacentral:rRNA from 1 species
UCAUCAGGUGCGGCGGCAGAGGAGGGUAGGGUUUAAGAGGCUGAAACGGCGCGACCGAUGAUCUCCUUCCCGAACCUGCGGCAGCAGCAGGAGCGGGUACCGCGCGCAGUAGGCUUUCUUGGGGCAGCCGAGGCAGCUAGACGAUCUAGACAGGUUCCUCUCCCUCUCGUCAUCAGCGCAAACCUGCGCUCCUCCCCCUCGUCGGUUGGCGCGGGCCGGUCGCUCGUGGCGCGGCGACGCAGUAUGGACGUACCGGACUACCGCGGGCAGCAGCAGGUCCUCGUCCUCGAGCGUAGUUGCGGGCGGCUGGUGGAGAGGUUCUACUCGGCGAGCAAAAGUGGAGCCAUCAACUAAGUCCACAGCCGCUGCUCGUUCGUGAGGGUCGUUGAGGAGGAGAGUAAGACGAAUCGGAGCGACAGGCGCGGGUGGCUGUCAGGGGACCAACAACGUCCAAACACUCGGAAGCUCCGAAGGUCCACACCGAAAUCAAUUCAAGUCGGGGGAUGUGGGCCCUCUAACCUGUUAAACGGGGUGAAAUGAACCUGUAAUCUACUAAACGGGGUCAAAUGUACCUAAUCUAGUAAACGGGGUGAAAAGUAAAAAGAAAACUACUAAACGGGAAAAGUUAAUGACUUUAGUAAAAGCUUAAAGAUAGGGAAAAAGGGUACGCAUUUCUGUGUUAACGGGGACACCGAUUAAAUGUUAAGAAGAUAUUAGAAGAGACGAAAACCUGACCAGGAUCAAGGUAGCUGCUCGAGUGAUAAGAGCCCUGGGGUGAUAAGAGAUCAAGUUGUGGAAAGGGGACAAGAAGUAAGGGGUUAUUAGUAUGGUGUCCUUCGAUUACCUCCUCCGGCUGCUGCCGUGGAACUGGGGGUAGAACCGUCGUCGCCGGGGCGCGUCGUCGAGGGCGACGUCUAGCAGCCGGGCCACGUGCCACCGAGGUCGACGUCGAGGAGCCGGGCCGCUCCGCCGAGGGCGACGUCGAGCCGUCGAGCCGCCGGGCCGCGCCGUCGAGGGUGACGUCCAGCAGCCGGGCCGCUCCGCCGAGGGCGACGUCGAGGAGCCGGGACCCUCCGCCGAGGGCAACGUCGAGCCGCCAGGUGGCGCCACUUAGGGCGACGUCGAGCCGCCUGGCCGCCCAUGGGCCCCGAGGGCGACGUUGAGCCUCGACGUCUUCCACGCGAGCAACGACCAUUUUUGAUUCAAGAAGAUCACUAAGUACCUAAAUGUUAAAAAAAACACAGACUCGAGUAACGCAACGGCCAUUAUCGGUACCAACCUGCUGUCACAACUAUCAUGAUUAAUGGGAUCGUCGACCAUGAUGAAGUUAGUACCUCGACCCAUGUAACAUAUUUUAUGAAGCAAGUCAAUAGAGGAGGUCUACGAAGUCUGAAAUUAACAUAGUGUGACUUU